UUGUGCAACGAAGAGUGAUGCGCACACACACACACGCUGAUGCAAUGAAGAAUGCUUUGCUAACAAAUGCUUAUGCUGAUAUGCAAAAUGCUGCACACAAAUAUCCCAAUACAUAAUUUUUAUGAGGAGCCAUUGAUUACCAUUGAUUACUCAAAAUGUGUUUUAUGUCACCCAGAGGACAUUUAUGUAGAUUUUAGGGGUAAGUGUCAUGGUCCCUGUGCCUCCCCGGCCAGCCCAGUGUGGCCACAAGUGUUUGUUGUUUCUCUCUCUCUCUCUCCCCUACCUGUCUGCCUGGGCGGAGCUCUGACUGGGCUCCCGCCCUUGGCCCACGCACCUGCAGCUGAUCGCGAGUGAUUUGCAGUGGAUCUCUGGCUCUUCUUAAGGCUGGGGCUCUGAGCUAUUCGUCGCUGGAAUAUUGAGUAACCUCGGAAUCCCUUUCCCUUGGUGCCCUGGGUGUGCUUAGUUGCUGGUGUGCGGUGUUUCUGGAUUCCCUCGUGUGUGAAGAGCCCCUUUCCCGGAUUCCCCUGUGCCCUGGAUCCCCCUUGCCCUCUCACCUGUAUAUAGUCGCACCUGGUGUCGUGUAUCAAUAAAAGGAACUGUAUUUUAGCUGCCUCGUCUGCGCUUGAGUCCGUCCACCAUCGUGACAGUAAGGUCUGAAACAGUUUGGUUAUGAAAACAAUGUCUGUGCGUGAUGUCUGUUUAUGGCUCAAGGCCUUGACUGAAUUCUUUGCUGUGCUUCACACAGCCCUGAUGAGGAACAGUGGCACAGAGUGAAAAUGAUGAAUUAAUAGUGUAAGUUUUAGGUCGGAGUACGGCAUUUUCUGUGAUUGAAAUUUAAUUCAAGGAGGAACAAAAGGUGUCACGGCACCUGAGGUUCUCAUUCCCACACAAUAUUGUCCCGGCAGGAAGCAAAACGUUCCUGUGAAUUUCUGGUUGAUUUUUUGGUUUUGCUUAGCGCUAGCUUGAUUUUAUCAGUGAGCUUUGGCUUGUGUUCUUUCUCGUAAGCGAGAGAGGGAUAGUUUUAUGCUUGGACGUGUCUGCAACGGGCCCUAGUAUGUGUUAUUUUUAGUAUUAUGUUGGUUACGUCUGUUUUCGUUUUUGUUACAGUGCACUGAGAUAAGAAAAUCUGAGAGGUGUGAUCCACCGAUGGUGAUAUGUUGUGAGUUCAUGAUUUAAUAAUCAGCUCUUUAAACCAGGCCUAAGAGAUUGAAAUUUAAAGCGCUAUAAAAUAUUCUUACUGAAAACAGUUGCAAAGUGUGCUUCUCCAUGAUUAUAAUUGGCAUGGGAGAAAUUCCCUUAUAUGGGACACUGAUCACGUGAGAAGUCCUGAGUCUAAAAGGAUUGCAGCGAGUCAAUCCAAUCCA